CUCAUGAUUUUUUGCAAAUCUGAAAUUGUUCUAAAAAAGGCAAUCGAUUAAAAAAAGAAGACACUCCCUCAGACCCCUCAAAAUGCCCCCGACCUAGUCCAGGGCCUUCCUGGCACAGAUGAAGGCAGUACAGUGAAGGUGUCAUAAUCAUGGGUUCUGCGGGCGGGAGAUGUGGGUUCCAGCCCUGACUCUGUUGCUCUGCUGUGUCCCGAGGCAACUGACUUCCCCUCCCUGAGCCCUCAUCUCAUUGUGGGUCAAAAGGGGUGAGAAUAACACAGUCACAGGGGUGUUGUAGAGACCAAAGUGGGGACUUCAAGGAGCGUGGCCAGGCUAGUGAUGCUGCACCCAGGGGUCGGGAACGCAUCCAAGGGCACGGAUGACGCAAGCCGUUUCCACCCACCUCAGGGCCACCCCGAGUCAGCACACGUCUUUUGAACAGAUCCACAUACAGAAAUGGCCUGGAUGACACGAUGCCCUUGCCGAGUGAAGGAAAUGCCAGAGUUGACACUGAGUCACCGGGCUGUGUCACUGGACUCCAAGAGAGAUGGCGUAUUUGCGAUCUCCCUGUGACAAGGCCAUCCUCGAAGAGAAAUGCGGGGCUGCCUUGAUUGACCACCGUAACAUGGCAGGACGUCUGGGCAUGGUUGGUGACAUACCUUCCUUGGUGGAGACUGGCUAAUGUGAAGGCAAUGACCUCCAUCACACAUUUCAGAAGAACUUACCCUUGCCUCUUUCUCCGACCUGGAGAACCAAGAUGAUUCUAAGUGCUAGCCUUUUAAAACCAGAUUCCUAUACCCUCAUCACUCACCAAAAAUUCCCCAUUCUCACGCUCCUAAAUGGUCCCUCUAACUCUGAAGGACCCAGAAAGCAUAUUUGCCCCCUGCAACCCCUGCCCAUCUCUCUCAGCCUAGAGGAGAGAUAGCAGAUAUAUUUCAGAUAGGCUGAUUUUUUUUUUAAUCAAAAGGAAAUUAAAGAACAGGGAAUGAUGUACAUUUCUUAUGGGGAGAGCGGGAGUCUUAUUCCUUGCCUGUCUUAAAAUAGCCUGAUGGAACGCAAUAUUUGCAUUAUGCUCAGGGUCAGCUGCUCUGGGGACUGCAGCCCAGGCCUGCCUGGAGAAGGGAGCGAGGGGCUGAGUUUUGAGAUUUACUGCAUUAAUGCUUCUCUAGUUUCUGCGGAGUAGCCACUGGAGAGAGGCUUGGCUGCCGAGGCAGUGAAAGAAACACAUGCAGAAACGCAGUAUCAAUAACUAAAUAUAACUCACAUCUGAAAUGCCUUUCACUGCACCCGGAGUGCUUUCCAAAUAUAUUAUCUCAUUAAAUCCACACAGAAGCAGAGGGAGGUAGGGUCCUCGCUCCCUCCUCUUAUGAGGGAGUGGAGAUUCAAAGCCCAGGGUUUGUGACUGCAUGUGGCGUGUCCUUUCAUCUGCAUCUGCGGUCUUGCACGCGGGCUUUGCAGAGGACCAGCAGGGAUGGGCGAAGGCAAUGCCAGCUGCUGUAACAAGCCGACCCCCAAAUACCUACAACUUCACACCAUCGGCAUUUAUUUCUUACUAUGUGAAAUCCCAAAGGGGUGUUGCAGAUCGUCAGGCUUCUGCACGAUCAUCUGGGGACCCCAGCUCCUUCCAGCUUUUGACUCACCUCUUAGCCUCAGCAUCCUCUGCAUUUAGCCUAUAGAUGGGGCAGGGCUUUAUGAGCCGGGCCUGGAAAAACCCCUCCCCCAUCUUCCAACUACAUUCAUUGGAUGGAGCUCAGUCACAUGGCUACAGCUACCUGCAAAGCAGACUGGGAAAUGUAGUCUAGCUGUGAAGUAGGAGAAAGAGGAAGGGAUGUGGUGAAGAGCCAGCCAAUUUCGAGCGACCCUCCACUCCCACUUCCUGCUCCAAGCAAGGCAGCUCCAAUUCUAUUUUAUAUAUUGCAUUCUACAUCAGAUUGAGUUUGAAGAAAGCACUCCAGGACUUGAAAAAAUGUGUCAAGAUUCUAGAUCAGUGGUCCUUAGACAGGGCUGGUUAUUUGGACUGCUAGGGUAGGUUGUGAAAAACAUAGAUUCCUGGGUUGCUUCUUUGGUGAUUCUGAUUCUGUAAAUACAGGGUCUGCUGUAGGCUCCACCAGUGUAUAUGUUGAACUUCAUCACUUGCUUUUGAAAACCCAUAAACAGUUUGGUGAAGAAUGCAGAUGGUGGAUGGUCAUGGUGAUUACAAAUUAGGGAAGAGCAAAAAGUGCUGGUGAGGACGUGGAGAGACAAGAGCUUGAUGUGCAACCACUCAUCUAGAAAAGUUGAAGCUGGGGCACCUGGAGGGGUUUGGCUGAGUGGUUGAGAGU